rnacentral:tRNA from 1 species
GCCUGCCUGGCUCAGUUGGUAGAGCAUGUGACUUUUGAUCUUGGUGUCAUGAGUUCAAGUCCCAUGUUGGAUG